AUUGAACGCUGGCGGCGGUCCUAACACAUGCAAGUCGAGCGGAGCGGCGGACGGGUGAGUAAUGCCUAGGAAUCUGACUGGUAAUGGGGGAUAACGUCCGGAAACGGUCGCUAAUACCGCAUACUAUCAAAUGAGCCUAGGUCGGAUUAGCUAGUUGGUGGGGUAAAGGCCUACCAAGGCGACGAUCCGUAACUGGUCUGCGAGGAUGAUCAGUCACACGGGAACUGAGACAAGGUCCAGACUCCUACGGGAGGCAGCAGUGGGGAAUAUUGGACAAUGGGCGAAAGACUGAUCCAGCCACGCCGGGUGUGUGAAGAAGGUCUUCGGAUUGUAAAGCACUUUAAGUUGGGAGGCGUUACCAACAGAAUAAGCACCGGCUAACUUCGUGCCAGCAGCCGAGGUAAUAC
rnacentral:rRNA from 1 species